GACAGAGGGUGCAAACGUUGUUCGGAAUACUGGGCGUAAAGCGCAUGUAGGCGGCUUGGCAAGUCGGGUGUGAAAGCCCUGGGCUCAACCUAGGAACCGCGCUUGAGACUGGCAUGCUCGAGUUCGGGAGAGGAUGGUGGAAUUCCCAGUGUAGAGGUGAAAUUCGUAGAUAUUGGGAAGAACACCGAUGGCGAAGGCAGCCAUCUGGACCGACACUGACGCUGAGGCGCGAAAGCGUGGGGAGCAAACAGG
rnacentral:rRNA from 1 species